GGAAGGCUCAGACCCUCCAAGGUUUCAUUGACACAGUCUGGAGACCCAGCUCUGUCACUCAACUCUACAUAGCCUUCACCCAGAGCCUGACAAUGUCUAUGAAGGAGAGGCUACGCCUGAUGAGUGCUUCUGCUACUUUCUCCAGGAUGACAGCCAUGAACUCCUGCCAUAUCCAACACCCCCUUGCUGCUCCCCACCGCCUUCCUUGGCACCCAGGUGGCUGAUCUCCUAUGGGUCUUGCUGGCUUCUCUACCUUGCAUGCUGAGGGUAUGCAAGCCCCAGCUCAGGGUCUGCACAUAGUAGGUGCUCGCAUGUUGCCUGCUAAACUGACAGCCCAUGUCAGCACAAAGCAACCAGCAUUUUGGGUGCAUCCACAGUUAAACCACUGAGGUCA